UUUGUCUCCCAUAGGCCGCUUCUUCUUCCUUUACAAUUCCAUCUCACAUUUGUCUCCCAUAGGCCGCAUCUCACCUCAAGACUUCAAAUCAUCAUUAAAUCACAUCAUCAGAAAGAGACCCAUCGCAUUGCAUAGCACCAGUAUCAUGAGCAUCGCAUCACACAGUUCGGACCAUCGAUUCUUACGUAAUCACCUGGACCUAUCAAAGACCUAUGCAAAUAUGUGCUCACCUCCACACCAUCCUUCGUUGUGUGCCUCUUUGUGGGCCAUCAUCACUCUCUAUUGGUUUUUGAUUGAUUGAAAUUUUAUUCAAAUCUAUAAAAUGUAAUUUGUUUUUAUGAAUACUGGAAUUAAUUGAUUGAUAUUGUUUCCG
rnacentral:misc_RNA from 1 species